rnacentral:rRNA from 1 species
UACGGAGGGUGCAAGCGUUAUCCGGAUUUACUGGGUUUAAAGGGUGUGUAGGCGGACUUAUAAGUCAGGGGUGAAAUCUCCGAGCUCAACUCGGAAACUGCCUUUGAUACUAUUAGUCUUGAAUUAUGUCGAGGUUGGCGGAAUAUAACAUGUAGCGGUGAAAUGCAUAGAUAUGUUAUAGAACACCGAUUGCGAAGGCAGCUGGCUAGACAUAUAUUGACGCUGAGGCACGAAAGCGUGGGUAGCGAACGGG